AUUUAAAUAGUUUAAGGAAAAAAUUUUGAUUUGUGGUGUCAAAGAUGUAUAAUUAUACUUUAAAUC
rnacentral:tRNA from 1 species